UUAGAAGUAUCUUAUAUUAUGAUGUUUUUUAAUUAUUUUAUAUGUGUCUUGGAUAUCUCACAAUGGUGUAUUCAAAGUGUGUUGGACAAAAUAAGAAAUGUGCUUUUAGUAAGUUGUGUGUGUCGUAGCUUUAAUAUGUAAAAUAAGGUAAAAACAAGUAGUGGACGGUAAACAUUUAUGUAAACAUAGGUAAAAGAAGGUGAAAAAAAAAUUAAAGAACGUAAAGAAGUAGGUAAUCAUAGAUAAAGAAGUUUAGAAAAUAAGAAAACAGGUUCGAAGAAGGUGAAAAACAGGUAGAGGGAAGUAAAAAAGAAGAAGGUAAAAUAAGUCGGUGAACAUUGAUCAGUUAAAAACAGGUACAAGAAAGUGAAAAGUAUGUAAAUAUAGGUAAAAAAAAUAAAUUUGUUUAACAUACUGUAGGUAGAAGAAUGUAAAACACAAAAAGAAGCUGGUACAAGUAUGACAAGACGAGAAGGUAAAACAGUAGGAAAACAGAUAAAAUCAGGUAAAUGAAGAUUUACAAAAUGUGGCUAAAAAGGUAAAACGCACGUAGAAGAAGGAAACCAGUAGGUAAACGUUGGUCAAAGAAAGUAAACAGCAGAUAGAAAAAGGUUUAAAUUAGGGAUGCACCGAAAUGAAAAUUUGUGGCCGAAGCCGAAGCCGAAUAAAAUUUAAACGCUUGGCCGAAGGCCGAAUAUCGAAUACCGAAUAAUGAAUGCAGUUUUUCACAACUUUUUUAAUAUUGCAUAAAUAGCCUAGAAUAAAUAUUUAGACAUCUUUUUCAAACAAAGUAAUUUUUUAUUGAAUAUUGACAUUUUUUUAAUAUUCCAGUAGUCUUUGCCUUUCAAAAAAAGCACAAUUUUUCAUUUAUAUUAGGCCUUCAAACAAAACAUGCAUUCCAAAAAAAAAUAAAGUGCGUUAAAGUGGAUAAACCCACAACAAAUGAAUUAUUGUCCUUUUGGCAAAAGUCUGCUUAGCCACAGUAGAUAUGCUAAUAAUGUAAACAGAAGGCUUAAGUAAAUCUCAAUUAAGUGUGUGCUUGUAACCUCUUACACUUAUACAUGUAGCCUACACAACAGGCUAAUAAUGUAAACAGACGCCCCACUAAAUCUCAAUAAGUGUGUGCUUGUAACCUCAUACACUUAUACAGGUACACAACAUAUCCCAACGUCACCACGUCACUGCACGUUGGUUGAUUGCGUCACCGCGUCAAAAAAUGGUGUCACACGCCACUAUUUGGCCUUGUUUUUGACUCAUUCCACCGAAGGCCGUAUGUGGCUUUUUUUGCCAUAUUCGGCCAAAUAUAUUCGGUUACCGAUUAAUCGGUGCAUCCCUAGUUUAAAUGUAGGUAGACAUAGGUAAAAGAAGGUAAAAAGCAAAUACAAAAAGGUAAAAAAAUAGGUAAACAUUGAUAAAAGCAUUUAAAAGAAGCAAAAUAUCCAGUUGAAGAAGUUAGAAAUCGGUAAAAGAAGGUAAAAAGCAGGUAGGCAGGUAGAAGAAGGAAACCAGUAGGUAAACGUUGGUCAAAUAAAGUAAUACAGCAGAUGGAAGAAAGUAUAACUGUAGGUAAACAUAGGCAAAAGAAGGUAAAAAGUAGGUCAAUAUUGAUAAAAGCCGGUAAAAGAAGAUAAAAAGCAAGUUGAGGAAGGUAGAAAUAGGUAAAAGAAGGUAAAAAGCAAGUUGAGGAAGGUAGAAAUUGGUAAAAGAAGGUAAAAAGCAGGUAAAAAGCAAGUUGAGGAAGGUAGAAAUUGGUAAAAGAAGGUAAAAAGCAGGUAGAAGAAGGAAACCAGUAGGUAAUC